rnacentral:rRNA from 1 species
CAGUCGCCGCGGUAAUACGGAGGGGGCUAGCGUUGUUCGGAAUUACUGGGCGUAAAGCGCACGUAGGCGGCUAUGUAAGUUAGAGGUGAAAGCCUGGAGCUCAACUCCAGAAUUGCCUUUAAGACUGCCGAGCUAGCAGGUGAGAGAGGUAAGUGGAAUUCCGAGUGUAGAGGUGAAAUUCGUAGAUAUUCGGAAGAACACCAGUGGCGAGGGCGGCUUACUGGCUCAUACUGGACGCUGAGGUGCGAAAGCGUGGGGAGCAAACAGGAUUAGAUACCCCAGUAGUCCCUGUCUCUUAUAC